rnacentral:lncRNA from 1 species
CUUAAUAUGCAAGAAAUAUUAAUGACACUUAUAUUAAUAUGCUCGGCCAUCAUUAAAAUUUAUUGUUUAAUAUACAGUAGAAAAUUGAUUAUUAAAGACUUUUUAUUUACUAUAAUUUAUUAUAUUAUCAUAUUGCAUUCAAGAAUAGUUGAAAAAUUGAGAGAAAAUCUUAUUUCAUGUAUUGCACAUAAAGACUCGACUUUUAUGAAGUUCUCUAUUCGACAUAUAGAUGUCAGUAUUAAAGACAGAGUUUCUGCUUAACAAUCAUUAAUAUUCUUACUUAAUAUGCAAUAGAAAUUUGUUUAUCAAAACCUUCUAUUUUUUGAAUAAUUUAUUACACUGCUAUAUUGUAUUUAUAAAUAGUUGAAAACAAAGGGAAAAAAUUAUAUCCCGCUCAUCGCAAGGGUUAUAUUACUAGUAAUAGCUAAUAUACGUUGCUUUUGUCAUUGAUGUCUACAUUAUUAUUAUUUUUUUUGUGCAAACGAGUAAAAAAAUAUAUCUAGUUUUCUUUACAUUACAUAGAAAUAAUUUUAUAGUGGAUGGUAUAUUAGUAUAGAAAGUUUUAUAGGAGCUGAGAGUGGGCGGCUGAGUAAAGAGAGCCGAUUUGGAGUAUUGACAUUUUAGCGAAGCACCCAUGCAUGAUCUAACCCAACCCAACUUCUCAUAUGAGUCUGGUCGAAUUUUACUGGGUUGGGUAAGUCGCCAAGCGCUUGGCUCGAACUCCACGCAUCAUCGUAUAUUUCGCGUCGAAAAUCCUGUAUAUCUGCCGUCCGCAUGCCCUCCUUCGAAGCCAUUGUCCCGCUGGUGUAAAGGGUAGUUCUAUAUACA